GAUAAACGCUAGCGGCAGGCUUAACACAUGCAAGUCGAGGGGCAGCAUAGAUUGUAGCAAUACAAUUGGUGGCGACCGGCGCACGGGUGCGUAACGCGUAUGCAACCUACCCGUCACCGGGGGAUAAUCCGGAGAAAUCUGGUCUAAUACCCCAUAACAUCUGGAUCGGCAUCGGUUCAUGUUGAAAUUUUCGGAGGUGACGGAUGGGCAUGCGUAGCAUUAGCUUGUUGGUGAGGUAACGGCUCACCAAGGCGACGAUGCUUAGGGGGACUGAGAGGUUUUCCCCCCACACUGGUACUGAGACACGGACCAGACUCCUACGGGAGGCAGCAGUGAGGAAUAUUGGUCAAUGGGCGCAAGCCUGAACCAGCCAUGCCGCGUGCAGGAUGACGGCUCUAUGAGUUGUAAACUGCUUUUGUACGAGGGUAAAGUGGGUUACGUGUAACCUUUUGAAAGUAUCGUACGAAUAAGGAUCGGCUAACUCCGUGCCAGCAGCCGCGGUAA
rnacentral:rRNA from 1 species